AUUGAACGCUGGCGGCAUGCCUUACACAUGCAAGUCGAACGGCAGCACGGGAGCAAUCCUGGUGGCGAGUGGCGAACGGGUGAGUAAUAUAUCGGAACGUGCCCAGUCGUGGGGGAUAACGUAGCGAAAGCUACGCUAAUACCGCAUACGAUCUACGGAUGAAAGCGGGGGAUCGCAAGACCUCGCGCGAUUGGAGCGGCCGAUAUCAGAUUAGCUAGUUGGUGAGGUAAAGGCUCACCAAGGCGACGAUCUGUAGCUGGUCUGAGAGGGCGAUCAGCCACACUGGAACUGAGACACGGUCCAGACUCCUACGGGAGGCAGCAGUGGGGAAUUUUGGACAAUGGGCGCAAGCCUGAUCCAGCAAUGCCGCGUGCAGGAUGAAGGCCUUCGGGUUGUAAACUGCUUUUGUACGGAACGAAACGGUGAGCUCUAAUACAAUUUGCUAAUGACGGUACCGUAAGAAUAAGCACCGGCUAACUACGUGCCAGCAGCCGCCGUAA
rnacentral:rRNA from 1 species